rnacentral:snRNA from 1 species
GUGCUCACUUUGGCAGCACAUAUACUAAAAUUGGAACCAUACAGAGAAGAUUAGCAUCGCCCCUGUGCAAGGAUGACACAUAAACUCAUGAAGCAUUCCAUAUUUAA